rnacentral:rRNA from 1 species
UGGGGAAUAUUGGGCAAUGGGCGCAAGCCUGACCCAGCAACGCCGCGUGAAGGAAGAAGGCUUUCGGGUUGUAAACUUCUUUUCUCAGGGACGAAGCAAGUGACGGUACCUGAGGAAUAAGCCACGGCUAACUACGUGCCAGCAGCCGCGGUAAUACGUAGGUGGCAAGCGUUAUCCGGAUUUACUGGGUGUAAAGGGCGUGUAGGCGGGAUCGCAAGUCAGAUGUGAAAACUGGAGGCUCAACCUCCAGCCUGCAUUUGAAACUGUGGUUCUUGAGUACUGGAGAGGCAGACGGAAUUCCUAGUGUAGCGGUGAAAUGCGUAGAUAUUAGGAGGAACACCAGUGGCGAAGGCGGUCUGCUGGACAGCAACUGACGCUGAGGCGCGAAAGCGUGGGGAGCAAACA